UUUUUUCCAUCAAAGCAUGAAUUAAUGUUGAACUUUCCCAAAUAGUAUCUUUCUUAAAUGUGCAACUUAGGAGAGCUUACAUCUUGUCUGGGAAAGAAGGCAGCUAUUAGGUUGUGAAAGUACAUACCUUGUGUUGUCAGCAGAAAAUUUAAAACAUUAGUGUUAUUUGUGGCAAAAACUGGCACAGGUUUCUAUGAAAGCAUCACAAUUGGAGUGGAGUUCUCUGUUCUAUUCUCCCUUAGAGCACCACCCCGGGAGGGCUAAUGUGCUGCAUUCAGCAGUGGCAAUUUUACAUUUAUUUCUGUGAUUCUUUGAAUUUAUUCAUCCUUCUCAUUGGACACUAAACUCCAAAGGGCAGAAGCCUAUUUUUUUUUCUACCUUCUAUUAUUUCUGAAACCUCUCUGCUUGGCACAGAGUAUAGGAUAAAGACAUAUUUGCUAAGCAAGAAAAUAAAUAAAUAUGAAAGAUGAGACGAUACAAUGAGUAUUGUUUUGGAGCUUUCGCAGUUUCUCCUCUAGCUUAAUAUGUAACCUCAAAACUAACCUAUCAUGUGCUGGUGAGAUAACACCUUUUUUCAUCCUCAAUGUGAGAGGUGAGGACAGUGAAGGACAGAGCCUUCCCUUAUGAAAAGAAAAAAUUCAUUUGUAGUUUUAAUAAAAGUAUCAAGGUUUUGAAUUUUCUACACAUAGUCAAUCAUUUUAAGUUAUAGUGACAAAUUGGUUAAGUGUGGGGGACUUGGGGCCGUUUGCUCCAGUGGCUGCAAUGCUUGCACCUGGACAAACAUCUCCUUGAAUGUUUAAAAAAAUUAAAAAUGUUUUUAAAAACAUUAAAAAAAUACACAUAAGCUAUAAGGACUGAAGACAACUCUGGACAGGCAGCGUUGGGGCAAAUCAGGGCCAAGAAGAUACAAAAUAAUCAGGGAGUUCCUGUUGUGGCUCAGCAGAAACAAAUCUGAGCAGCAUCCAUGAGGACCCAGUUUCAAUCCCUGGUCUCGGUCAGUUGGUUAAGGGUCCAAUGCUGCUGUGAGCCUGUGGCAUAGAUUGCAGACAUGGCUCAGAUCCCACAUUGCUGCCACUGCUCCAAUUCAAUCCCUAUCCUGGGAACCUCCAAUAUGUCAUGGGCCCAGCCCUAAAAAGAAAAAAAAAAAAAAGAUACAAAAGAAUCUAAAAACCCAACUGCCACUUCUUAAGAGCCCAGAGCAAAAACAGGGUGUGGGGAGCAAAAGCAAGUACUAUGCCUGCCCCUGCAUACAGCACCACCAAAGUGCUGGGCAGACCACCUCAGCCACCCCUCUGGCCUGACCUCUGGACCUGCCCCUACCCUCUCCCAUGUAAGGAACCAGAUGUGCCCCCACCCCCAGAAAGGGAGCAAGCAAGGGAACCUGUUUGUUGUGCCCACCCUCCACCCCUUAGGCAGAAUCGUCCCCUAUAAAGCCUAACCCGCAUUUUCCUGUCUGGCCUCUUAUUAAUUUCCAUUGAUUAAGGAGGCCAGAGAAGAAAUUUAGGUUAAGUCUUUACUGGGGCCCCCCCUGCAAUGAGGAGAGUGAAAUCAUAAAAUGAGCCCCCUUGCUUCCUUGUUGGAGGUGGGGGGAGCUGGUUCCUCAUAUGGGGUGAAGGUAGAGGCAGGUUCGGGGUCAGGUCAAAGGGGUGACUGAGGCGGUGAUCUGGCCACACCAUUGGUGGUGCUGUGUGCUGGGUGUAUGUGUAGCAACCUGCUUUUGCUUUCCACACCAUGCUUUUGCUCUGGGCUUGUUGGCACAAGUCCCUCUGUCCAAAGCACAGUGAGGCUAAACAAACCAAAAUGUCAGUUUAGAGAACAGCAAUGUGUACUACAGGGCCAUGCAGGGAGAUGAGUGGCUUGUGCCCCCAAAUAUCCCGAAUUCCCUGAACCAAAAUUCCAAAGCCUUUUUAUUUGUAUUUGCAAUAUUUUUAUUUUUGGCCCUCCUGCAGCACACGGAGUUCCCAGGCCAGGGAUCACAUUGAUCCCUACUUGCGAUGCAGCUGCAGAUGUAGCGAUGUUGAAUCCUUAACCCACUGUUCUGGGCUGGGAAUUGAACCCGUGUUCCAGUGCUCCAGACACCCCACCAAUCCCUUUUCACAACAGUGGAACUCUGAAAUGAAAUUUCAAGGCAGGGUGAGGAAGGGGCAUGGUUGGGUGAUGCAAACUUCUUGGUACAGAAAUCUUUUGUUCUUGUGGCUGCCCAAGGAGGUCAGGUCAGGAUGUUCCUGGAAAUGUCCAGCAAGAUAAAUGUUAUACUUCAGAGAGGAGCUAAUGCAGAGGAUCUGGGG
rnacentral:lncRNA from 1 species